rnacentral:rRNA from 1 species
GACGAACGCUGGCGGCGUGCUUAACACAUGCAAGUCGAACGGCAAGGCCCUGCUUUUGUGGGGUGCUCGGGUGGGGAACGGGUGCGUAACACGUGAGUAACCUGCCCUUGUCUUUGGGAUAACUUCAGGAAACUGGGGCUAAUACCGGAUAGGAGCUCCUGCUGCAUGGUGGGGUUUGGAACGUUUGGGCGGUUGGGGAUGGACUCGCGGCUUAUCAGCUUGUUGGUGGGGUAGUGGCGUACCAAGGCUUUGACGGGUAGCCGGCCUGAGAGGGUGACCGGCCACAUUGGGACUGAGAUACGGCGCAGACUGCAACGGGAGGCAGUGGUGGGGAACUUUGCACAAUGGGCGGGAGCCUGAUGCAACAACGCCGCGUGCGGGAUGACGGCCUUCGGGUUGUAAACCGCUUUCGCCUGUGACGAAGCGUGAGUGACGGUAAUGGGUAAAGAAGCACCGGCUAACUACGUG